AUUAAUGCCAAAGCCCUGUUGCCUGGGGAGAGGGUGAUGUUUGACUUUCUUGUACAGCUGCAGUUUGUGGGGUGAAGGUGCUCCCACAAUGUGGUUGGAUUCCACCAUUUGCCAAUAUGCGAUUUGAACAAGGACUUCAGUUGUACAUUUUAAUAUUCUGGAUAAAAGUUAAAUACAUUAGGAUACUACAGGUGGACAUUCAGAUGGUAAUCUCAGUCAUUGUAACACCAAACUUUGAUUGAAUUAGUCAGUUCA